rnacentral:lncRNA from 1 species
CUAUCAUGUCUAUCUUUUGUGCGAGAUGUUGGAGCUGAGACUCCUAGUAUUGAUUUUGUCCCAGUUGUAAGGGAUUUUCCUGAUGUAUUUCUUACAGACCAGUCGGGCACGCCUCUGGACAGGGAUAUUUAUUUUGGCAUUAGUUGUGAGGGAUUUUCCAGAUGUAUUUCUUACAGACCAGUCGGGCACGCCUCUGGACAGGGAUAUUAUUUUGGCAUUGACUUGGUGUUGGGAAAUCAUCCCAUUUCUAUUCCACCGUAUCGUAUGUCACUUACUGAGUUGAAAAAAAUAAAUAAAUAAAUUGAAGGAGCAACUUCAAGAGCUACUAGAUAAUGGGUUCAUUCGGCCUAGUGUGUCACCAUGGGGUGCACCAGUCUUAUUUGUGAAAAAGAAGGAUGGCACAAUGAGAGUGUGCAUUGAUUACAUGCAAUUGAAUAAUUAACAGUGAAGAAUAAGUAUCCUUUGCCUCGUAUUGAUAGCUUGGUUAUGUGCGAACAGAUUUGAAAGUGUUCUCGAUGGUUUUUACAUGGUUCGAGCCAGAUAUCUUCUACCGGUGCAUAGAACAUAUUUUAUAUAAUGAACUCCUCCUAAAUGGGAGCAAAUAGAAGAUAUCUAACUGCCGGAAUGUAAUUUUCCUAUAGCCCAUAAAUUCUAAUGAGAUUUUGUGCUAGAUAUCUUCUACCGGUGCACAGAACAUAUUGUAUUAAUGAACUCCUCUUACAUGGGAGCAAAUAGAAUAUAUCUAACUACCGGAAUAUAAUUUCUUAUAACCCAGAAGUUCUAAUGAGAUUUUGUGUUUACAAUAAGAUGGCAUGAUAGACAUGGUGUAUGGUACAUGCUUACUAUUUUCAUGUGCGAGGUGGCAGUUCAUUCAUAAAGGGAAGGUCAUAAAUUCUGUAUAGAAUAAUCAGCUUCAAAUAUUUAAAUUGAAUGUUAUAACUGCUUGGUAAGACCUGAAAAGGGUGCGUACUAUCUUUGAACCAACAAAUGUCUAUUGGUAUUACAACACUCACUUGGUUGAUCGACUACCGAUAUUUCAAACUUGUUAUUUAUUUUAGAAAAUAAUUAUCUGGGGAUGAUCGUACUUGAGGGAUGUGUCAGUCAUUUGGGUGCUGAGGUUGUGAUCAGUUACGAUGAUUUAUGUGAUAUAUGAAUUCAGAAAUUGGGAAUUCAUAUAAUAUACUAUUUCAGGAUUGUGGCAUGAAGAGUAUUCUAUCUAACUCAUUGGAUGCACUAGUCGAGUUAAUGGAUGGUGAUAAUUAUGCGCUAUGAGCGCCAAUAUAUGUGAGGUUUGAAUCUGUGUGCAAGCACCGAGCCAAUAUUCAUGCUCGGAAGAUCUGUAGGCUAUGAUAUUCUUAGACUGGAAUGUUGAACUUAAGGAUAUAAUGUUUCUCUUAUUCGUAACUCUGUUAGGAAAUAUCUAGACUAUACUUGAGAUUUCCAAGAUGCUAAAUUCCAGAACAAACUUGGCAAUUACUAAUGCUGUGUUAACUUGCUGAUUUGAGCUAUGACAACGCAGUUUGCUCAUGACUACCAUAUAGAGUGUUAUUUAUGCCAGUCUAGGAGCAUGAGAAUCUUGUUUCAAUUAGCAUAUACAUGUUUACUUGUUGGAUUGCUUAUAUAUGAUAUGUUUGGACUGGAGGUCUGUGACCGUGUCAGGUGGAUUAUGUUGUUGGAAACUAAGUUGCUCAUGGAGUUGAUGUCAAUGUGAGCUAUAGAAGAUCUGGUUAUUAUUAUUCUAUUCAUAUGUCUGGGUUCCACUGUGAUUGACGAGCUCAUAACAUAUCGUUGGUGUGGUACGUGUAGAGCUUGCGAAGCGGCUCUCUUCUUUGAGGUAUUUUUCCCUUUCUGGGGUAGAAGGAUGGUGCAAUAUUGAAGUUUAAUGGUAUGGAGUUGUAUCAUGCACUUCUCCGUGGGUAUGGUGAUUCCCUUGCGGUACUAGAUAUCAAAUAGCGCUUGGUUGAUGAUUUUGAACAUGUUGAUUUGGGGCGUUUCAUAUGAACUAGUGUCUGGAUAGGGUCUCGCAUAGCAGUGAAGCUAUAUGGAGAUAUGACCUUCUGGGUUAGAUUUGUGUGUUCUAUUUCUAUGAUGUGUGACGGGUUCUCAGUCAUGUUUUGUGGUGGUAAUAUUGAGCUUGUGGUACAACUCUUUCAUUAGAGUUAUUUUCAUGAAUUUAGUAUACUUGGAUUGAUGCUUAUUGGCGCGCAUACUGCGCGAGUUGUGGCUUAGGUCUGUAUUGAUGUGUCAUGUCACCAGAGUAGUGUGUUGGAUUAUAAGAUAUUAGAGGGAUCAUUAAUGAAUAUAAACAGAUUUGAUUUCGGUAUGUUAGAAGGAUAAUAUCGAGCUUCAACUCAGAAAUUUGAUGUAGCAUUUGCCAAAGGAGAAAUGACUUCAUGAAUGGUUGAUAUGGGAAAUGGUCAUGGCUUACCACGUGAUUUAGUGAUCAUUGGCAGCAUAUGAAAGUGUGAGAUGACUUUAGUUGAUACGAGUUUUUCUAUCGGUAUUCGGUGUUGUGUGCAUCUGUUGUGAUUAGGAGUUAUCACUACAAGAAUUUAAUUAUGUGUCCUAGCAUGUAAUAGCACCUGAGGUUGUAGGUGUAGGUUAUUAUAGCUUGUUCGAACUUAUUCACUAUAUAUAUGUGGGAUUAUGAUCAUAUGAAAGAUUUUAAAAGUGGAAAUGUGGUCCUAUGGCGUGUCGGCUAGAUUGUAUUGCGAAAUUUCUCUUACAAUGUGUUGUUGGACCUAUAUGAGAUAGGGUGAUGCAGGAUCACCCCCGGGUAUAUGCGUGGCGAGGUUACUAAGCAAUUGUUUGGCUUUUGGGGACAACUCUGGGCAUGUUCGAGGACGAUUAUUUGUUUAAGUUGGGGAGAAUGUGAUGACCCGACCUGUCGUCUCGUGAGUAACUACCCCGUUCUUCCCAUUUUCUGCUUUCUUAUGUUUCAUUAUCGGUAUUGGGUGCAUUAGAAUUUAUUUGGAGCAAUUUUGAUAAGAAAUGAGACAUUUAGUCUCUUUUAAGAAGGCUUAAGUUGGAAAAGUCAACAUGAUGUUGACUUGCCAGUUAGAGGGAUCAGAAUUGAAUUUCGAUGAUUUGGUUAGCUUCGGAUGAUGAUUUAAGUCUUAAUAGCGCAAUCGAAAGAAAUUUUGGAGGUCCGGUGAAGAAGUUAACUUAUUUUGGCGAAGUUAGUAUUUUGUCGAUUUUCGGUUGAUAAGUGAAAUUUUAAUCCGAGAGUUAGAAUGGAAUUUCGAGAGUUGUUGUAGCUUCAUUAGGUGAUUUGGGAUGUGUAUGAAAAAUUUCAAGUGAUUCGGACAUGGUUUGGUCGGAUUUUUGAUCGAAUAUAUGUUUUAGAAGUUUUAAAAGAACUUAGGCUUGAAUUCGAUGUAAUUUGAUGAUUUUGGCAUUAGUUGAGGUGUUUUGACGAUUGAGGUGUUUUGAUUAUUGGAGAAAGUUUUGUUGAGGUCCCGGGGGCCUUGGGUAUAUUUCAAAAGGUUAACGGAUCGAUUUAGGCACAAAAAUAAAGCUGCUGUAGUUUUUUCCACACCAAUGUGAAUAGUAGUUUUGAACAGUACCCAGUAACAGUACCCCGGUCAUAGUAUCCGUGAACAGUACCCCAUAACAGUACCCGUGAAUAGUACCCCCGUGAACAGUAUCCAUGAACAGUACACCGUGAACAGUACACUGCUGAACAGUACCCCGGGUGAACAGUAUCCUCGGAAAUUUGGGCAGAAUGUUUAAUUCAUGAAAAUGGGACUUCGUUCCCAUUUUCCAUUAUUAGCAAUUUAGAGCUCGGUUUGGGCGAUUUUUGGUAAGAUUUUCUUAGAGAAUAAUAGGGUAGGUGUUCUUAACUCAAUUUUUGUUAUCUAACUCGAAUCUAUUGCAAGUUUUGGUGUUUAAUUUGAGAAUUUUUCUUGAAAAGGGUAGAAAACCCUCUUGGAUAGAAAUGGUGAUUUGAGUGGUCAAAUGAACUCUGAUUUUUUGUGAAUUUAGUAUGUAUAGACUCAUGGAGAGAUAAGGAACAUUUUGAUGUAAAAAUUUUUGGAUUUCUAGAUGCGGGCCCGGGGCUCGGGUUUUGCAAAUUUUGUGAAUUUCAAUAUUUUUCGAGUAUUUUUGAUUAGGUAUUGUCUCUUUUGUAUAAUGCAACAAUUCAUUGUCAUUUUGGGAGAUUUGUCCUGAGAGGAAGCAAAUUCGAAAGGCAAUGGCAUAGCGGAGUAGACGUUUGACCGUCUUGAGGUGAGUAAUAAUUUUAAAUUAUGUCCUGAAGGUUUGAAAUCCCGAAUCGCACAAUGUAGUGCUAUGUUGAGAUGAGACACGCGUAGUAUGACGAGUGCAAGGUCAUUUACUAUUGGGUAUUGUGACUUGGUCCAUCCCAAUUGAUAUUUUACUGCGUAUUUGAUAAAGAUUUAUUGUUUUUCACCAUAAUUUGGGCUUAUUGCUGUAUUUGGACUUUGUGCCAAUUAUUUGAGAUCUUUUGUGAAUUUCCAUCACUAUUUCCUCACCACUAGAAAUAUUAUUUGAACUCAGUCCAACCGAAUUAUAUUAUUUUAUGAACUCAGCUACAUUCAUACUCAACUUGAGAUUUAAUGAUAUUUAUAAUGUUGUUAAGCUAAGCACCAUUGUUUUACUAAUGCCCAAGGGGCUUCUAGACUGAUUGAGGCCGAGGGCCAUAUGUGAGGAUAUGUUGAGUGAUGUGAGGAGGCUUUCAAGCCUCAAGUAUUUUUUUGAGGAGGCUUUCAGGCCUCGAGUGUGAUGUGUGAAGGCGUUAAGGCCUAUUGAUAUUGUGCUUGGGCUGUAGGAGCCCCCGGAGUCUGUAUACACGCCCAGUGAGUGCAGGGUACCCAGGUGAGUUAGCAGUGGGCCCGAGUGGCCGAUGUUGUGUUCUGGUGAGUUAAGAGUGGGUUCGAGUGGCCGAUGUUGUGUUCUGGCUAGUUGGGAGUGGGCCCGAGAGGCUGAUGUUGUGUUUUGGUGAGUUGGGAGUGAGCCCGAGAGGCUGAUAUUGUGUGUUGGUGAGUUGGGAGUGAGCCCACAGGGCUUAUAAUAUAUUGAGAAUUUGAUAGUUAGCCCGAGGGGCAAGUUUCUGAUUAUUCCUUACUUGUUGAAACUAAUUGUCUUCACUAUUUUUAAAAGAUAAUUAUCUGAUACUCCAUGGAUUUACGGCUAUAAAUGAUUUUACUGCUUGAGAUAGCAUUAUAUUAUGCCUUUAUGAGAUUUCAUGCUUUCAGUCGUUAUUUAUUUUUAUUGCUCACUAGGUCGGAGUACUCACAUUACUCCCUGCACCAUGUGUGCAGAUGCAGGUGUUGAUCACCCGGUAACGGGAUAUUAGAUGAUUGAAGGUAUUUCUAUUGUAGCUGAGCAAGGUGACCGCCAGCGUUCUCGGCACCGUAUCUCUUCCUUUGAUUCUAAAUUUCUAAUAUGUAUAUUAAUGGUUUUAUAGUAGUGUUCAGAUUCCUUAAAUGCUCGUGACUUGUGACACCCUGGUCGGGUUAUGUUGGGCUGUAAACAGUGGUUAUUAUUGUCAUUAAGCUGUAUUUAUUUAUGCAUUUAUGUUUAAUAAUUGUUAAAGAAAUAAUAACCAGUGUUUACAACCCAACAUAACCCGAUCGGGGUGUCACAAGUCACGAGCAUUUAAGGAAUCUGAACACUACUAUAAAACAAGUAAUAUACAUAUUGGAAAUUUAGAAUCAAAGGAAGAGAUACGGUGCCGCGAACGUUGGCGGUCACCUUGAUCAGCUACAAUAGAAAUACCUUCAAUCAGCUAAUAUCCUGCUACCAGGUGAUCAAUACCUGCAUCUGCAUACAUGGUGUAGGGAGUAAUGUGAGUACUCCGACCCAGUGAGUAAUAAAAAUAAAUAACGACUGAAAGCAUGAAAUCUCAUAAAUGCACAAUUUUUGGGUUAGUUGACUGGCCUUGUCUUCACGAGAGGCGCUAUCACGAUCGGGGUUAGAAAAUUGGGUCGUGACAACAGUGCUUAUUAUCGGCCAACCAUUUUUCCGGACAACCCUUAUCACAAGAAAUAUUACUGAUUCGUUCAUGUCCAAUACUUUAUGCCCGAUGAAUUGCACUCAUGUUCUAACAUUCACCAAAUUUUUGCAUUUUACAUCAAUCCCAAAGAACAUAUAUUAUCACCAACUCAGUGCACACACUAUUCCCCUGUGUCUUAUGCCAUUUUGAUGUGCUUCCUAGACUCGGCUUUGUGUGAUUCAAACGUUGAGAGCGGAUUUUGAAGUCAUUGCUCAUUUGUUUCGACAAAACAGACUCAAAAGGGACUCAAACAAAAUAAGGGAAAAAACGAGAAGAGAUGGUAUCUAAUAAUAAAAUAUUUUUAUAUAGGUAAAAGAAUAAAGUAGAAACUAAUCUGGUUUAAAGGCCAUCUCCACUGACUAUGACAUGCAUUUUAGAUUAAGUGACUUGAUAUGUCAAGAGAGUCUAAUCUUCAACUCUUGAUAUGCCUCUAAGUUGUGAAACUGGGCUUCAUCGCUCCAAUUUUCCUUUUUGAUCCAUAACCCUUAGUCAACUUGUAGUUCCUUGGAGGGUUUUCACCAGCAAGCCUCUCUCAUUUUGCUCUUUUCUCAACUCACCGUCGAUUUACGGUGCUCAUGAGGAUUUUCAUCGAUAAUACUAUCUCAUUUUAUCAUUUUAUCUCUUUAAGCUGAGAACAAGGUAUUACCCAUGAUACAGGAGAAUCAUAUUUUUAAUACACACUUUAUUUGGCAUCCUCAAAGAUUGGUCUAAAGGUCUUUUUUUGGACUGUCAUGUAAGCUUUUGGAAUGGAUUAGAAAGAAAGGAUGGCAUGAAGACUCAAAAUAAUUUAAAACUUCUACCCCAGUUUCUUGGAGUCCGGGAAAUUUUUUUUGGAUUUUUGUUUUAUGGGGCCGAACCUCAGAGUAAGGCUGCCUAUGUAUCCUUAAAAGAAAUUAGGUGGAACAUAGUUCCAACACAAAGUUGGUUUAUUUUAUUGUUUUUCUUUUCCUUUUCUUUCUUUUCUUUUUUCUUUUUUUUUCUUUUCUCCCUUUUUCUCUUUACUUUUCUUUUUCUUCUUUUUCUUUUUUUUCCUGUUCUUUUCUAGUUCCUAAUUCUACUUCUGAUUUCAAAAAGAGGUAUGAAACAAAACAAAUUAAGGCUCAAAUGGGGUAGCAAAUGAUAAAAGUAUUUGGGUAGCAGAACAAAAUGCCUUUGUCAUACCGAACUUUAAAAAUGCCAAGUACAAACAUGCAAUUGAAGAUAAUUAAAGAAAUCAUACAUAGUAUCUAUUGAUGGCAUCAAUACAAACAGAAAAUACCGACUGGCAAUACCUUUGUCUCGAUGAAUGAUCCUUGCCAGUUCGAAGAAAACUUGACUCAACCUUACCUUGAUGUGGAAGAAUGCAUUUCAACACUGAUUGAUCUACCUCAAACUAUUUGAGAGACAUUUCCUUAUUGUAUUCUCUUAUCAACCUCUUGAUUUCCCAGACUAACUGGCUUAAAUUUCACUUAAUCAAGCUUCAGGUUAUCCUAGAAUGCGUGAAUCUUCACUUGUUCCUCAAAUGCAUCUUUUUAUCAUAUUUAAAACUGUGUGUCAUUAUUCCAUGAUUAGACCUGAUUUCAAGGUCUAGCUAAAAACUUUACAUGCAUGUCAUAUCAUUAGAACUGUCCUGAAGAGAACUAUAUACAAGAAAAGAAGUAAACGAAGACUAUAAAUAACAGAAAAACAAAAUCUCAUUUGACCAAAAGAUGGAAGGGUUUGAACAUCAGAGAGAAAAUAUGUAUUAAAUCCCCGAAACAACCCUAGAUGACAGAUUUAGAGACACUAAACUAACUAACAAAACUCCUAGAGAUAGGAAAAAGAGAAUAGAAGGGUUUGAAUCACCAAUACAAACAAGAGAAAAUUUUGAUUCCAACACCGAAAUAACCAGAUAGCAGAAAAAACAUCAAAACAAGCUACCAAGAUCCCUUUCUAGUGAGGAGAGAAUGACCUUUCAAUUGCUAAACUUGACAUUGAGCCACAAAUUUGAAAUUCGCUCAUCAGAAUCACUAGGGCCUUCUCCAAUUUCAAAAUCAUUAAAUUUAGUGAGCAAGUUCCUGAGAGGGUUAUCACACUCCCUAUCACCAUUCAUUAUCCCCACAAAGUGUUCAUCAUCAUGUGCAGGUAAAGAAUUCUAUGCGAUAUUCUAGGUGUCACUAUCCUAGACCAUAAUUAUCCCUUCUUGAAUCAUUCUUUCUAUCUCCUUUUUCAAACCACGACAAUCUUCAAUACUCUUCCCUUGGACAUUAAAAUGGUACAUGCACCGUACAUCAGGAUUAAAACCUUUUGCAUGUGGGUCCGAAAUAUAGCUGAGGGGCGGCUCAAUCAAACAAGAAUAUUUUAACUUUUCAAACAAGCUAGUGUAGAAUUCCCCGAUUGGCGUAAAUCUAUUUCUAUAUCUAUGUUUCCCUCAAUGCCCAUGUUUUCUAGGGUUAUUGGGUGCUCAAAAUGUUGUGAAGGUGAACGGGUAUUUUGCGGUUCUAGUGUUUUCCAUAAGGAGUGACCCAGUGGUUAAACAAAUGACGGGACAUUGUUCGGAGGAUAAUACUGUGGUGGACUAGAUGGAGCUCGGGGAUAGGUUUGGAAUCGGGGUCGGGGUCAAGGCUGAGUAUAUUGGUAAGGCGGUCCCAUUAGGCCAUGGCAUGAUAUUGAGACAACCAUGGCAGCAUCAUUCUUUUUCUUCGGACUCGACAAGCUUCAUGUGUCGUUCUGAAUUGAUUGUGUUGUGGCUUUUAAGGCAGAAUAGCUCAUGAUCUUUCUUGACUUCAACCCAUAUUCUACCAUUUCUUUCACUUUUAUCACAUCACUAAAAGGCUUACCCACAAUCGAGAUCAAAUGCCUAAAGUAAGUAGGCUCUUGAUCUUUAAGAAAUUACUCGACCAUUUUAUCUUCUUCCAUCGAGGAUUGUCUCACGCAUCCUACUUUCUCCAUCUAAAACCAUAUUUCCUAAAACUUUCACUAGGUUUAUUCUCUAUCUUAUUCAAGGAUAGAUGAUUCCGGACAGUGCUUAUGUUGUACUGAAAGUGCCGGGUAAAGGCCUGGGCCAUAUCAUCCUAUGUGUACCAAUUGCUAGAAUUUUGGCAGGUGUACCACUCCAGAGCUUCCCUACUUGGACUCUAACUGAAAUACGCCAUCAAUAAUUUGUCCUUCCCACCGAUGCCUCUAAUCUUACUGCAGUAGCCUCUCAAAUGGGCCACGAAAUCUCUAUGUCCGUCAUACAAAUCAAACUUUGGCAUCUUAAACCCAGUAGGCAGUUGGACAUCAGGAAACAAGCAUAAAUCUUUGUAAGACACGCUCACCUGGCUCGCUAUCCCUUGCAUGUUUCUUAAAGACUGCUCUAAGAUUUUCACCUUCCGAGAUGUCUCAUCUCGCUCCACUAUAUUAUCAGGCUUUUCAGUUUCACCGGAAGGCUCAAAAUAAGGAGCGUAAGAGUAUGGAUCUGAGACUUUGAUAGUUGGUUCUAGAGCAUAGUAUUGGGUAUAGGGACUUUGAGCACAACCUCGAUAGAGAAUCGAGGAAGAAUAGCUGGUGAAGGAGCUACAAAACAUGAGUGGUGAAAGGAGAAGGAUAUGAUGUGCUUUUGGGGGGUGGAGUGUGAAAAGGUUGUGGGGAGAUAUCAACGACAGUGAGAAUCUGGAUUUGUGGCAGUGGCAGAACGCUGAUGAGGCUUUUGGUGUAGUUAGUGGGAAAUAAUGGUGGAGGACUCCCACUAAUCCAGGCUUGGUACAUUUCGGCCAUCUGUCCUUUCAACCUUAGGACCUCUUCUUUAACUCAGAUUCUGAUUCAACAAUCUCCUUCUGCGGAACUACAAUACCUGUGUCCAAGGCUUUACUAGCUAUGGCUGCCUUACUCUUUGACCUUAUGUUGUACAGAUGACUCGCCAAAAUGUCACAAACUAGCUUCUUUUAUGAUAACAAUAAAGUACCAAAGAGGAGCAAAACAAAGCCAACAUGUUAACAUUAGGGCAUUUAUCAUAUAGAAUAUCACAUUGCGUGCAAUGCACCUAGCAACAAUUAACGGUUCUAGAGUCACAAGGUCAUUUGGCAUCAUCCCAGUUUUGUUCAUUUCAAUCUUUUCUUUUCUUUCUUUUUUAGCACUUUUUGGCUUGCUCAUUUUUUCCCCUCUCUUUUCUUUUCUUAUUAUCACUUUUUUCUUCCCUCUCAUUUCUCACAUCCCAUAACUUCACUCUUUUUCUUUUUCCUUUUUUUAAUAAUGAUCCAAUUAAAUCCUAUGUAGUUUGCCUACGUAUUACGUUCUACAUGAAUCAAACCAACCGUAUUUCUGAAAAAGUAAUGGACAAAAUAAACAAAAAUCUUUUUGGAUUUUUUCAUUUAUAAUUUUUUUUUUGGUUUUCACAUGCAAAAUAGGAAAUACGAUAACAAAAGACUCAACAAACUCUUGCACCACCUAAAAGACUCAAAACUACUUGACAAGACAAGAAAGUAAAAGAAAUAAUGAAAACAAACUCGAAAUAUAAAAAGUCUCUUCAAACAAGCUCCCAAAUACGAUGGUCCUAGGAUAUCUAUCAUGCUCGAACUAUGGUACAUGGAUCCAUUCCUGAAUGAGAAAAAUAAUACCAAAUAGAGUUAGUGACUCAGGACACUAUGCGACGCCACAACACCUCCUAUUGGACAUAUGAUUGAGACUAUAUUUUGCUAAAUGACCUAUGUGGCCAAGGAUGGCUAGAAGUGCAAACUCAACAAGGGAGACCACUCAGAUAUGAAAAAAUAUCUCAAAAGGCUUAUAUGGCUUCAAAGUCCCAAUAAUCAUGGCCCUAGAAAUUACUUUGCAAAUGUGACCCGUUUUGCAAAAACGGCCGAUGUGGCCAAACGCGACUAAAGAUGCAAAUUCAACAUGGACGGGCCUUAAAAUAAUAUGACACUUAGUUGUAAACUCAAGAUUCUAAGAACAUGGGAUAACAAAUUAAUUUUAGAAAAUAACCAUAUUUGCAAAAAUGGCUGAUGUGGCCAAAUGUAGCUAAACAUGCAAGAUUUGGCUACAACCCCCGAAGCCAAAAGCCUAAAACUCACUAGGACAACUAGACCCUAUGUGGGCUGCCUACGUAUCUCAUUCCGAAAGAUGAGAAUUAGGUAUGCGUAGUUCGGGAAGAUUAACCUAAAUUGAAAAACUUACAAAAGGGUCAAUUAGACUUGAAAAAUGAGUUGUUUCCUUUUUUGAUUUUUUGUAAAAAUGGUAUGAAGUUGUACAAUAUUUUUGGAUUUUUUCUUUUGAGAAAAAUUAUGAAAGAAAAAAAUAAAAGUGGGCCCUAUUUGCUUCAUUUUCACCCUUCUUUCUUGACAUCAGUCCGCCAAAUAACCUUUCUAUCCUAAAAGAUGUAAUAUUAGUACAUAAGAUGAUUGAAUGUCACAUUGGGCCAGCGUACCCAUUUGAGACAAUUUGGAUAGGUUUCCUACAAAGGAUAUGAUACCUUGGACCGGGCCCUACUAGGUCAUAGUGAUACGAUGCAAAUAAAAAUGACCUAAAGGCUGACCUACGUUUGAGGUUCACUAACAAAGCAAUUCGGGGGAAUGUAUGGUUGAUAGUGGCUACUUAAGCUUUCCACCUACUCCACAUCCGACUGCCCCUCCUCCUAAAAUAAGGGUGACUCAACAAAGAGUUCGUGUACGCGAUGCAUACUACGAGACUUUUUAUAGAACGAAGACCCAUGGUUAUGCAAAUAAUGACAGUUAUAAAAUGGUAAAACGGAAGGAAAAACGAUUAACAAAUAACCAAUAAAACAUAAAAUAAGACAAACAAACUAACUAAACAAAGAAAAUAAAGAAAACAAACACCUCAAUCGAAUAUCCUAAAAGCUAAUAAGAUCAAGUAUCAGCUCGAACCUGUAUCUCCCCAGCAAAGUCGCCAGAGUUGUCACACCCCUUUUUUCUACCUCACUUAACCCUUUUAAAAAUGCUAAAAAGAUUUUGUAAGGAUGAAAAAGGUUUUCAUUGGAAUGUGAAAAAAAGAUUGGUUUCGAAGGAUUUUUAGAGUCGCCACCUGACAUUUGGUUUUGGUGUGCGAGGUCACCAUUUUUAAAAAUAAUAAUUUUCCUUCAAAACACAUUUGACUCUAAAACUGACUGCACCAGAUAUUUGAGUAAGGGGGUACAUUUGACUCGGGGAGAAGGUGUUAGGCAUUCCCCGAGUCCCGUAACUAGUACGGUUCUGUACAUGAUCAAGUUCGCUUUAAUGAAUAUUUUAAUUGAGGUAAAGGAAAACAAAAUAAAAAUAAACACAAAAGAGGUUUGAGUUUGUCCCUACUUGAAUAAAAGAAAGAGAUAAAAAUACUAAGGUUCUAUACUAUGCCUCUUUUAUAUCGUCCCGUCUUUGGCCUUCUUUUACAUGUACUUCGAGACAUGCCCCGGAUAAAAAUAUUUACAAUCUUCUUGGGGCAUUUCCCGAAUAAAUAAUGGACGUAAGAACAACCUCUAAAAUCAAAUCCAAGCAUGAAUACAACCUAGUAUUUGCCUACUAACCACAAGUGUGUUCUCAAAGGCAAUUUUUAUCGGGUCUAAAACAUAUAGCUAGCGACCCGAAUAACUAAAAGGACAAAAGUGUAGAAAUCUAUUUCGUUGAUCUUUAAAUCUGUUAAACUAUCCCAUUACCCAUUUAUCAUUGCUGUUACUAAUCUAACUUUACUGAACAAUUAUUAAUUCAUUAAAUAGCAAGCAACUCAACAUUUUUAGAGAUUUCAAACUAAUUCAAACAAAACAAAGUAAACAAAUCAAACUACCAGACUAAUAAAAAGAACAAUUAAAGCAUAUCAAACAAAAUGAAACAAGACUCACUCAAAAAUAUUCAAACAUCUAUGUAAAGGGAAAUUAGAUGGACCUCUAUAACUGUAAAUUGCUCUCGAGUCAAUCAAAUGAACCUCGUGUAGAAAUGGUCGCAAGUAGAUACAAUUAUUCAGAUGGUAUUAAACAGAACCAAUCUUGUCAAUUAAAACUUGACCACGAACAGCACCACCGAUCAAAACCUUGACCCAAACCUCGAGCGAACCUCUCUCUAUGCGACUGGAUGGAAUUUGAUAGAAGAGGAUGCAAAAAUCAUUUAUACAUUCAAGAAAUCUGUUCUUUUUUUUCAACUUUUUUUUCUUUUAGUAAUUUUUAAAAUGCUCUAAUUUUUGUGAAUGAAUGUCUUUUUUCGGAGAAAAUCUGAAAAUUCCAAAAAACUGUGUCCAAGAAGGGGUGCCGAAACUCUUUGUUUCUUUUUGUCCGCUUUUCUUUCUCUUUUCUUGCUAUCUGUGUUUGGAAGGGGUACCGAAACUCUUUGUUGAGUUCCGUUGGUGAGACUGGUGGAGAAGGGAGUAUCGGCUCUUUUUUGAGAAUGCAGUCUUAGAGUUGGUAAAGGGUGAAGAAGAAGAAGAAGGGGUCAGCUGAAAGGUUUUAUGUGUUAGGGAUUUGGGGUUGACAGAACUUGGCCCUCUUUUGGGUCAAGUCAAGCUCAAAAUAAUGGUCUUCUCACACAAAAAUAAGAUAAAAUUAG